rnacentral:rRNA from 1 species
CAGCAGCCGCGGUAACACGUAGGGUGCGAGCGUUGUCCGGAAUUAUUGGGCGUAAAGAGCUCGUAGGCGGUCUGUCGCGUCUGCUGUGAAAACCCGAGGCUCAACCUCGGGCCUGCAGUGGGUACGGGCAGACUAGAGUGCGGUAGGGGAGAAUGGAAUUCCUGGUGUAGCGGUGGAAUGCGCAGAUAUCAGGAGGAACACCGAUGGCGAAGGCAGUUCUCUGGGCCGUAACUGACGCUGAGGAGCGAAAGCGUGGGGAGCGAACAGGAUUAGAUACCCGUGUAGUCCCUGUCUCUUAUAC